UCUUCGAGAGCGUGUUCCAAUCCGCCUGAUAAGCACUCAGCCUCAGGGGAAGCCGGUCGGAAUCCGGCGCUGACCCGCAACCGUAGGCCCGCCACCGCGCGGGCGAGCCGGAAUGCCUGGGGCCUGGAAUUUCAGC
rnacentral:ncRNA from 2 species